AUGGACACAGCAGUACCUGUGUCACAGAGGACUGACCAAAAGCAGUGCCAGACACACAGCAAACACCUCACUGCAGCUGCUCCCAGUGCCCUGGGACCCACAGCCCAAACCUGCCAACGAUCCUGGCAAUCUACAGUUGGCAGGCAAAGGCCAGCACUGGUCUACACAGCAUUCCCGCUGGGGACACAGAGGACAGGCAGGCCAGCACUGGUCUACACAGCAUUCCCCCGGGGACACGGAGGGGAGGCGGGCCUGGGCUGGUCUACACAGCAUUCCCCUGGGGACACGGAGGGGAGGCGGGCCUGGGCUGGUCUACACAGCAUUCCCCUGGGGACACAGGGGAGGUGGACCUGGGCUGGUCUACACAGCAUUCCCCCUGGGGACACGGAGGGGAGGCGGGCCUGGGCUGGUCUACACAGCAUUCCCCUGGGGACACAGAGGGGAGGUGGGCCUGGGCUGGUCUACACAGCAUUCCCAUCUCCCCGCCAGGACAUGAGGGACAGAAGGGCUGGGUGGGCUGGUACCACUCACUCCUGCCACCUCGAGCCUUCUCUCCUCCUCUGGCCAUUUUUCUUCUCUCCCUCUGGACACCCCAGCAUCAACUGGCUUCUCCUUCCACUUGUCUCUACCUCCAGCCAGCUUCCGGCCACCCCAGCUUUCUCUUCUUGGGGUUUUUCACCAGUCCCCCCACCUCUCAGGGCAAUGGCAAGCCCCCCUGCCCCCGGCUGGCCGAGGUGCCCCCCAGCUCACUCCCACACCGUGCUUUCCUGUCUCCCUCCAGGUCCUGCACUUUUAAUUUUCAUUUCUUUGGUUUUCGAGUCCAUUCCUCCCCAGCUUUGUCUUCCUCCUUUUCUUUUCUGGGAACCAAGGCCUCCUGUCCCACCUUGCUGCCACUACCUGUCUGUCACCUCCUUCUUGGUCUUCCCACCCACACUUUUCCCUACUUAUCUUCCUUCUGUGCUCAUCUCCCCUGUAACUCUCCCUCCUCCUCAACAUGGCCAGCCUCGUCCUCUGUGCUGGGUGAGCACCACGCCCCCGCUGUGCACCUGCUCCUGGCCCUGCUCCGCACCUCUCCCGUGGGGGCCGCCCUGUCCAUCCCCACCACCCGCCGCACCUCUCCCGUGGGGGCUGCUCUGUCCAUCCGCACUGCCCGCCUGA
rnacentral:lncRNA from 1 species